GAUCCAAUGGCACAACGGUUAGUGCGCUUGCUUCAGUUAAAAUGUUCGCGAUGUCAAGCAAGAGGUCCCUGUUCGAUUCGGGGUUGGGUCA